ensembl:lncRNA
AUGACAACGAUUCUUUUAUGUAACUUCUGGGCAAAUUUUUAUUUGUCUUGAAGUGUCUAUAUCUUAAUAUCAGCAACUUUACAGCAGUCUGACUUAUUUUCUCUGUCUUACAAUAUCCCUGACUUCACUGCAGAGGCUGAAUGGCCACACACUCCCUCCCCAGGCAAGCAUGGUUUCUGAGGAGUUUGCCUUCUCUUUUGCAGAAUUCUUUUCUGUAGUAUUCUUUCCUCUUUUCACCACUCUAGUCCCAUGCUCCUCACUUUCCUCUUUCAGAAUCAGAGUCUGGAAUUCUCAGAAGACUGAGUCAAGGCUUGCAGUAUCUGUGAUGCCAACAACUGUGUUUCUGCAGUAUUUUCCCAGUCUUGUAAUAUUGGCCAAAAUGAAAGAAGGAUUCAGGUUGAAGAGGAUGGCCUUUCUGCAAGGAUGCUUCUACUAAGGACAGCAUGGCAAGGCCUUCCAUGAACCAGAUUACUACGAAUCCUGGAAUUCUGGAAAGUAACCAGCCACGAAGCCAACAAUGAUUUAAGACCAAGAUAUAGUAGGAAGGAGCAACCAAGAUUUGAAGGCAGUACAGAUUGGUGGACAUCGAAGUGGAUGUGAGACUACCCUCUUUAGAAUUUUGUUUUCAAAAUAUACAGAAAAGAUGUCACUUAGGAUACAAUUCUUGAAUAUUUUAUUAUAAGAGGCUAUUUUGAAAAUAUCUAUAGCCACUAACUCAUAAAAAAGAGUCAUUUUUAACUUAUUUCCAGAUUGCCUUCCAUAGAUCCUUGAAGAAGAGGUUCCAAAUUUAUUUUGAUCUUUUGAUUGCUUAAAGCCAUUCACCAAGAAACUUUUGGAGCUUUCAACCUUUCUACAGAAACAUUCAUUUGAAUGAGAGAGAAUAUUUUGCAAAUUGACUCCCAGGCUGAUUUCUUACCAUCAUUCAAAAUGGAUUUGGGCCAGCUCCUUCAGCCAUCAGUUAUGUGAUACAAGUUGAUUUUAAUAAUGCAUUCUAAAUACAAAUAGAAAUGACUAUUGUCUAUGUUUUGAACUAUCUGUUCAACAUUGUUUAGCUAGAUAAGUGAAAAUUUAUCCCAUUUCUAAUUUCUGUUAUUUAGUAAUUAGAUCACUUUGCCUUUUUGGUUCCAGUUAGAUAGUAAUUAAUAAAAAGACUACUCUUUUUCUUGGAAGGAAAAUA